rnacentral:rRNA from 1 species
CGGCCGCGUCGACAUCUCUGCAAACAUGUAAAUGGAUGUAUAGGGAUUGACACCUGCCCAGUGCUGGAAGGUUAAAAGGAGAGGUUAGCGUAAGCGAAGCUUCGAAUUGAAGCCCCGGUAAACGGCGGCCGUAACAAUAACGGUCCUAAGGUAGCGAAAUUCCUUGUCGGGUAAGUUCCGACCUGCACGAAUGGCGUAACGAUCUCCCCGCUGUCUCAAAUGUGGACUCAGCGAAAUUGAAUUGUCUGUGAAGAUGCAGACUUCCCGCGGUUAGACGGAAAGACCCCAUGCACCUUUACUAUAGCUUCGCACUGGCAUCAGGAUUGUGAUGUGCAGGAUAGGUGGUAGGCUUUGAAGCGGGGACGCCAGUU